GUGACAAAAAGUGGUGGGAAACCAUCAAAAAGUAGGUUGAGACCGCGAAAAAAUGGCCUAAAAGUGACAAAAAGCGUUGGGAAACCCCGGUGGGGUGUCUUGGAACCAUCAAAAAUUGGGGAAGCCCAAUGGGAAAGGCUUGAAAGCGUCAAUAAAUGGCUCGAAAGUGACAAAAAAUGGUGAGAAACCAUCAAAAAGUGGGUUGAGACCGUGAAAAAACGGCCUAAAAGUGACAGAAAAUGGUGGGAAACCAACGGGAAUGUUUUCAAACCAUCAAAAAAUGGCCUGAAACCAUCAGAAAAUGGUGGGAAACCAACGGGAAUGGCUUGAAAUUGUCAAUAAAUGGCUCAAAAGUGACAAAAAAUGGCCUAAAAGUGACAAAAAAUGGUGAGAAACCAUCAAAAAGUAGGUUGAGACCACGAAAAAAUGGCCUAAAAGUGACAAAAAGCGUUGGGAAACCCCGGUGGGGUGUCUUGGAACCAUCGAAAAUUGGGGAAGCCCAGUGGGAAAGGCUUGAAAUUGUCAAUAAAUGGCCUAAAAGUGACAAAAAAUGGUGAGAAACCAUCAAAAAGUGGGUUGAGAUCAUGAAAAAAUGGCCUAAAAGCGACAGAAAAUGGUGGGAAACCAUCAAAAAGUAGGUUGAGGCCAUGAAAAAAUGGCCUAAAAGUGACAGAAAAUGGUGGGAAACCAUCAAAAAGUAGGUUGAGACCACGAAAAAAUGGCCUAAAAGUGACAAAAAUUGGCCUGAAACCAACAUAAAAUGGUGGGAACCCAAUGGGAAUGGCUUGAAAUCGUCAAUAAAUGGCUCAAAAGUGACAAAAAAUGGUGGGAAACCAUCAAAAAGUGGGUUGAGACCGUGAAAAAAUGGCCUAAAAGUGACAGAAAAUGGUGGGAAACCAUCAAAAAGUAGGUUGAAACCGUGAAAAAAUGACCUGAAACCAACAGAAAAUGGUGGGAAACCAACGGGAAUGGCUUGAAAUUGUCAAUAAAUGGCUCGAAAGUGACAAAAAAUGGCUUUAAAGUGACAGAAAAUGGUGGGAAACCAUCAAAAAGUAGGUUGAAACCAUGAAAAAAUGGCCUAAAAGCAACAAAAAUGGUGGGAAACCGUCAAAAAGUGGGUUGAGACCGUGAAAAAAUGGCCUAAAAGUGACAAAAAAUUGUGGGAAACCAUCAAAAAGUAGGUUGAGACCGCGAAAAAGUGGCCUAAAAGUGACAAAAAUUGGCCUGAAACCAACAGAAAAUGGUGGGAAACCCAAUGGGAAUGGCUUGAAAUUGUCAAUAAAUGGCCUAAAAGUGACAAAAAAUGGUGGGAAACCAUCAAAAAGUGGGUUGAGACUGCAAAAAAAUGGCCUAAAAGUGACAAAAAAUUGUGGGAAACCAUCAAAAAGUAGGUUGAGACCGUGAAAAAAUGGCCUAAAAGUGACAGAAAAUGGUGAGAAACCAUCAAAAAGUAGGUUGAGACUGCGAAAAAAUGGCCUAAAAACGGGAAAAAAAUGGUGGAAAACCAACGGGAAGGUCUUGAAAUUGUCAAAAAACGGCUUAAAAGUGACAAAAAAUGUUGGGAAUGGCUUGAAAUCAUCGAGAAAUGGCUCAAAAGGGGCAAAAAAUGGCCUAAAAGUGACCCAAAAAUGGUGGGAAACCCAAUGGGAACGGCUGGAAACCCUCCAAAAAUGCUGGAAAACCAACGGGAAGGGUUUGAAACCCUCGAAAAUUGGUUGGAAACCCUCAGAAAUUGGUUUGAAACCCUCAAAAAUUGGUUUGAAACCAUCAAAAAUUGGUUGGAAACCCUCCAAAAAUGCUGGAAAACCAACGGGAAGGGUUUGAAACCCUCGAAAAUUGGUUGGAAACCCUCAAAAAUUGGUUUGAAACCCUCAAAAAUUGGUUUGAAACCAUCAAAAAUUGGUUGGAAACCCUCAAAAAUUGGUUUGAAACCCUCAAAAAUUGGUUUGAAACCCUCGAAAAUUGGUUGGAAACCCUCAAAAAUUGGUUGGAAACCCUCAGAAAUUGGUUUGAAACCCUCAAAAAUGAGUGGAAACCCAACGGAAGGGUCUUGGAAGCAUCAAAUGGUGGAAACCCAACGGGAAGGUCUUGGAAGCACCAAAGGAUGGUGGAAACCCAAUGGGAAGGUCUUUAAACCAUCAAAAAAUGGCUUAAAAAUGACAAAAACUGAUGGAAACCCAACGGGAAGGUCUUGGAAGCAUCAAAUGGUGGAAACCCAACGGGAAGGUCUUGGAAGCAUCAAAAACCAUCUGGAAUUUGACAAAAACUGGCUCAAACCCAACCAAAACUGGAGGAAACCCAACGGAAAAGUCUCGGAAGCGUCGAAUGACGGCGACGACCCAACAGGAAGGUCUUGGAAGCAUCAAAUGAUGGUGGAAACCCAAUGGGAAGGUCUUGGAAGCAUCAAAUGGUGGAAACUCAACGGAAAAGUCUUGGAAGCAUCAAAGGAUGGUGGAAACCCAACGGGAAGGUCUUGGAAGCAUCAAAGGAUGGUGGAAACCCAACGGGAAGGUCUUGGAAGCAUCAAAUGGUGGAAACCCAACGGGAAGGUCUUGAAACCAUCAAAAAAUGGCUUAAAAAUGACAAAAAGUGAUGGAAACCCAACGGGAAGGUCUUGGAAGCAUCAAAUGGUGGAAACCCAACGGGAAGGUCUUGGAAGCAUCAAAAACCAUCUGGAAUUUGACAAAAACUGGCUCAAACCCAACCAAAACUGGGAGAAACCCAACAGAAAAGUCUCGGAAGCGUCGACCGAUGGCGACGACCCAACGGGAAGGUCUUGGAAGCAUCAAAGGAUGGUGGAAACCCAAUGGGAAGGUCUUGGAAGCACCAAAUGAUGGUGGAAACCCAAUGGGAAGGUCUUGGAAGCAUCAAAUGAUGGUGGAAACCCAACGGGAAGGUCUUGGAAGCAUCAAAAACCAUCUGGAAUUUGACAGUAAAUGACUCAAACCCAACCAAAACUGGCGGAAACCCAACGGGAAGGUCUCGGAAGCACCGAGAGCCGCGUCGGGAGCGGCCGGAAGGUUCCGGGCCCCCCCAAAGCGCCCGGAAGGUCCGGAACGGGGCGUUUUGGGGCCCCGCGCGCGAGGAGGAGCCGGGUGGGUUUUUUUGGGGGGUCCGGGGGGGUCUCGGGGGCGGUUCGGGGUCGGGGGCGGCGUCGGGGGGGCGGCGCAGCCACCGCCCGUUUUACUAGAGAAUAAAAAACAAAGGGGAGUUUUCCAA